UCAAUAAGAUCAUAUAGAUGUCCAAAAAUAGCUUGUCGAGAAAUAACAAUUGUGACGCAAUCCAGCGAAAUGAGUCGGAAGUCGCAGUCGGUGAUUUUGAGCUGCAGGCCGAAAUAUGUGAAAUGCAUUGAAAUUUUCGAAAAAAUUUUUAUCACGCCGUUGGGUACUUAAACCUAUCUACUUUGAUCUCCCGAAGUCUCAAGUCAAGAUAUCAUCGAUAAAUAAUCUUAUUUUACCAUUUAUUAGGUCAACUCAAUAUAAAGAAAAGAAAAUUGAGAGAUAAAAAGGCAAAAAUCAACAAAACUCCAGCGUUACAUGCAACGGCAUUCAUUAGGGAAAUCCCCUUAAUCCGGGUAUCUACAUGACGCUUGGGAAUCCCUCUAACCUUAUAUGUAAAUAUAAAGACUAUAUUUAGACGUUAUCAUCCAAUUAGAAAGCACUAUCCGACAUAAACAAUCGUCUGCUGGGUCGAUGACCAAAUGAGCUCACGACCCGAAUUGAAAUGCGCUGAUUGGCUAAAAUCUCGCAGUACCGGGUUUGCGCAUGACAAAUGGUUAAUAAUAAUAAUGUCUUCGCUGUCAAAACCAACUUUCGCUUUUCUAAGUUUCGACAUUUCUUACAUUAAGUAAAAUACACCGUAAUUUUUUAGAAUAUUAAUAUGCAAUCGUGGUUUAUGUAAUAUAUGAACUUUGAGGUAUGGAAUUUUCUAAGGAGGCGAAUAUUGCCCGAUCAUUGAACUCUAAUCUGACAUCAUGUAAUCUGCACGAAGCGGUGGACAAAAAGGAAUUCCGUGAUCUAGUGACAGACUUUUUUAGUAUUGACGAUUGUGUGGCAUCGUCAGAUGAAUCAGUUACCAGUGAUGACGAAGAUAGUGUUAUUGUAGACAAACAUGAUUCUGAUUUUGAAUUUUCUUCAAACUUUGUUGAUAAAAACAAUGACACAAGUUCUUCUUGUGAUUCUGACAUCGACAUUGAAAAUGAAAAUGACGUGGGUGUUCAGCUAGGCCUACCUGUAAUUGAUGAAGUGGAAAAGGUAUUAUCCUCAACAGAAGUAAAUAAUACUGCUAUAUUAGAUGUAAAGGAUCUUGAAAUGAAAAAGAUUGAAGCAUAUAGCUGUAAGAACUGCAAACUUAAUAAUGGUGAACCCUGUUUUAUGUUAUUUAGCAAGGAUUUUGUUUAUGAAUUAAGACUGAUCAUGUCAUCGCUGUCUGAUUUUGAAAAGGACCUGAUUUUGCUUGGCAAAAUAAGUUGUGUUUUUAGGAAUGAUCCCUACACACAGUCAUCGAAGAAAAAGCAACAAAAGGAACAUAAACACCAGCGAACAGAACACUAUGUUAAUGGGAUUCAAGUUUCUUCACUGCAUAAGCCAGAACGAGCUUACAGCUCUAUUAAAACACUACAAAGAAUUUGGUUUAACACCACGCGAGAAGAAAUCUGGUGGUAGACAUGCUAGUGAUAAACGUUUGUUAACUCAUGAUGAUAUUUGUAGAGUGGUUACUUUCAUUAUUAACUUUGCUGAGCUUCAUGCUUUAGUGUUGCCGGGAAGAGUUCCAGGCUUUAAAAGAUUUGAUAUCAAGCUACUUCCAUCUCAUUACACAAAAUCAAAGGUGUUUUUGUCAUAUCAGACAGCAAUGAAAGAAAAGAAGCAGGCGAACGGGUAGUGAAUAUUGUGGGUUUUCGGAGGCUUUGGAAUACACUUGUGCCGUUUAUAGUCCGAACCAAGCCGAUGACAGAUCUUUGUUGGGUUUGUCAACAAAACAAUUCACUGAUUUAUAAGAGUGCUAACAUGUCAGAUCAGGAAAAGUCUGUGAGGUGUAAAACACAAGAAGAACACAUUCUGAAAGUGACACUUGAACGUUCUCUGUAUAAUUCUAUGGUACAGAAGGCAAAAGAUGUUUUGAAAAACAUAGGAGUAAAUGAACUUGAAACAACAAGUCCAGCAACACGAGAUAUAACAAUGCACUACUCGUUUGAUUUUGCACAGCAAGUGCAUUACCCUUCCAAUCCGCUUCAACCAGGCCCGAUGUAUUUUUUAACCCCUCGCAAGUGUGGGUUGUUUGGCAUUAAUUGUGAAGCUCUGCCGAGGCAGGUGAAUUAUUUAAUAGAUGAGGGAAUGUGCAUAACAAAGGGAUCAAAUGCAGUUAUAAGUUAUCUAGAUCACUUUUUUUGUAAUUAUGGUCUUGGAGAAAUGCAUCUCUAACUGCAUUGUGAUAACUGUUGCGGCCAAAAUAAAAACAAUGCUCUUUUGCAAUACUUGUUAUGGCGUGUAAUCCAUGGACUUCACAAGUCUAUUACACUUAACUUUCUGAUCAGUGGUUAUACAAAGUUUGCACCUGAUUGGGCCUUCGGACUAAUAAAGCAAACUUAUCGGAGAACUAUGGUUUCUUGUUUAGAUGAAAUUUCAGAAGUAGUCAAGACGAGCACUUCUACUGGAGUAAAUAAAGCUCAACUUGUUGGUCAUGAAAAUGGUGACAUCUUGGUACAACAAAGGGACUGGCAAUCCUUUUUGCAUCCUUACUUCCGUAGUCUACCCGGGAUAAAGAAAUAUCAACAUUUCAGAUUUGACAGUGAAAACCCAGGAUGGGUAUUUAAGAAGGAAUUUACUUCCUCUUUGGAAGUUGGAGUAUGUCUGCAGAAAGCAACAUUACUGCCGCCUGCAGACAGACCAGAGUCACUUGCCCCUCCAGGGUUGCCCUUAGAAAGGCAGCAAUACCUUUACAGAAACAUCAGAAAAUUCUGCACUUGUGAAACACAAGACAUCACCUGUCCAGUGCCAAGUGCAAACGAAUCAAAAUCAGACAAGAUGAAGAAAUUAUUGUGCCCCCUAGCAAGAUAAGAAAAUUUGAGGAGUAAUUAACUGGUGAGAUGUGUUUUUAUGAUUUGAACUUUUGUAUAUUUCAUUAUCAAUUUGAAACAUAAAACUGUACUGAUCGGAAAUAAUUUGACUAUGAUUAACAGUUUCCGGUUGGGACACUGUUGGUUUCCAUGACAACAACAACGAUUUUGAUUGUUAACUGAUUGGGAGUUUUGUACAUUAUUUCAUUAUCAAUUUGAACUGUAAAUUUGUAAUAAUCUGAACUAAUUUGAGUAUGAUUAACAGUGUCUUGUAGGGAUACUAUUGGUUUCCAUGGCAAGAACAACUGCGUUUUUUUUUAUUUGAACUUUUGUACAUUUCAUUAUCAACUUGAUUGACUUGAAUUGGAAAAUUGUAGUUAUCCAAAAUAAUUUGACUAUGAUUAACAGUGUCUCGUUGGGACACUAUUGGUUUCCAUGGCAAUAAUUUUGAUUGUUAAAGUAGCUAAGUCUCUAACUCAUUAUUAUCCAAAUUCUUCGACAUUGAAAAUACGAAUUUUUUUUCAAUUUAAAUCAACAUUGAUGCUGUGAUCUUACCAGGAAAAGGUGAGCUUCUGAUCUCCAAUAUUUAAGAAAAAAAUAUAUAUUUUACCAUUGGUACACGAAUCGUGUACCGUAAUGUGUUUCAGCAUCAUUUGUAAGAAGGCACUCGAUGAACGAGGCUAAACAUAUUCCACAAGUCAUGUAAAAUGGUGACGCUAUAUUCUUAUCUAGAGAGCAGCAUGCGCAAUGAAUACUAGGUCCCAAAUAUUAGCGAUUUAGCUCCUUUAACGGGUGACUUGUAUUUUUCUGAUUGGAACUUGAAUUUGAAAACUGCAGUAAUCCAAAAUAAUUUUACUAUGGAUAACAGUGUCUUGUUGGGACACUAUUUGUUUCCGUGGCAACAACAAUAAUUUGGAUAGUUAACUGGUGAUUAGAACUUUUGCACAUUUCAUUAUCAACUUGUAAUAAUCUGAAAUAAUUUGGCUAUCUUUAACAAUGUUUGUUCAGACACUAGUUGGUUUCCAUGGCAACAACAUUAAUUUUGAUUGUUAACCAAUGACUGUUUUCUGAUUGGAAGUUUUGUACAAUUGAUUAUCAAUUUGAACUGUAAAACUGUAUUAAUCUAAAAUGAUUUGACUGUUUAAAAGUGUCCUGUCGGGACACUAUUGGUUUCCAUGGCAACAACACUGAUUUUGAUAUUUAACUGAUUGGAAGAUUUGUACAUUUCAUUAUCAAUUUGAACUGUAAAUUUGUAAUAAUCUGAAGUAAUUUGAGUAUCAUUAACAGUGUCUUGUAAGGAUACUAUUGGUUUCCAUGGCAACAACAAUAGUUUUGAUUGUUAACUGGUAACUGUAUUAUUUUGAUUUGAACUUUUUACAAUGAGUUUGGAUUGUAAUUUGUAUUAAUUAAUGAUUUGACUAUGUUUAAAAGUGUCCUGUUGGGACACUAUUGGUUUCCAUGGCAACAACAAUGAUUUCGAUAUAUUAAACUGAUUGGAAGAUUUGUACAUUUCAUUAUUAAUUUGAACUGUAAAUAUGUAAUAAUCUGAAGUAAUUUGAGUAUCAUUAACAGUGUCUUGUAAGGAUACUAUUGGUUUCCAUGGCAACAACAAUAGUUUUGAUUGUUAACUGUAUUAUUUUGAUUUGAACUUUUUACAAUGAGUUUGGAUUGUAAUUUGUAUUAAUUAGCUGUGAUUAACAGUAUCUUGUUUGGACACUUAUGGUUUCCAUGGCAACCACAAUAAUUAAAACUUUUGUGCACUUAUGGUUUCCAUGGCAACCACAAUAAUUAAAACUUUUGUGCAUGUCAUUAUUAACUUGAAUUGUAAAAUUUAUCUUGUAUAUCAGUAUCUGUGUAAAUAUUUCAUAAUCAGUUGUUAAUUUUAGAUUGAUUUGAAAUCAAUAUCAUGUUUCAGCAUAUUCAGUAUCAGUUGUCAAGGCAACCAUCAUUUUCAUGUUUGAAUAAUAAAA